AAUAAAUGCAGUUUUGCACUAUUUAUGUUCAACGUUUGACCGUUCGUCUUAUUUAAAAUUGUUUAUGAUUAGUAUUUUUAUUGUUAUUAGAUGAUAAAACAUGAAUAAUACUUUAUGUGUGACUAAAUAUUUUUAAAUUUUUUAUAAAAUUUUCAAAUAAGACAGAUGGUCAAACGUUGGGCACGGAUAUCCACGGCUGCACUUAUU
rnacentral:pre_miRNA from 1 species